GUUCUCCUCCUUCAACGAUUCUCGUCUUCCUCUUCUCAGACUGUCGCUUGGCAACCUGAGAAAGAAGAGAUGUAUCGAGUAAGAAAAAUUCCAUCCUUGGUUGAUCUUUGUGUUAACAAAGCUAUAGAUAAUCUAAGGUUCCUUGGGGAUGUUGGCGAAACUGAUAUACAUCUUUUAGACCGUAUUUUGCCACAUUGCACAGU
rnacentral:misc_RNA from 1 species